rnacentral:lncRNA from 1 species
CUGAGGCAGAGAUGGCAGUGAACCUGUCUCCCCGCAGCCCCCCAAAGAUGGCUUAUUUCCUUCCGAGGAUCAACAGCCUUGAAUCGUUCUUCGUUCGACACCAGUGUUAAUCUCACGUUCUUCCGCGUGCGGGAAAAUGCUUUGUCAGUGUCGUGUCUGUUGAGCAGGACAUCAACAUGCGAAAAAGGCAGUCAGUAUAUGCCCUUCCACUCGACGUAAGAGCUCAAAUGGUGACUCUUUCCGCGCGUCAGAAAACCCGUAAACAAGCAGGACGACGUAGUUGGGAUGCUCUUGCAGGCUCUCACACCCUUUCUGGACUCAGAAGAAGGCAAACCAAAGCGUUCUUUCGAGGAAACGCAUCCCCGUCAGAACGUCUGUGCUUGGCCGAAAACCGACGUAUCCCGUUUGUAGCUGCGAUCUUGCGGUAAAGUUCCCCUGUGUCGGGCAGGAAGCACACCGCUGGUAGCUUUACUCGGGCAUAGUUUGUGGCCACCAAAAACAAACGCGUCAUUGUUUCGAGAAUAUUUUGGCUGCAAAUUGUGUACACUUAAAGGUUUCCGCUAUGUCUGCUUGAAUAAUCCAACUGGCAUUGCCCAUGUUUAAAGCCUUCCUCCAUUGAGGGUAGAGCGAUGUUUUCGUUGUGUCACGUCUGUCGUUUGGUUUGUCCUAACCAUUUUGACUGAAGUGGAAACAUAAACGGG